rnacentral:lncRNA from 1 species
GGCUUAUCUGUGGGCUAUGAUAUAGCUGCCUUCGCAGUAGGCCCAGAGAAAGGAAAGUGCCUGGGAGUUUAUGCCAAUGACUAGUUCAGGAGUAUGAAAGCCCAGCUGCUUUGCCUCAGUGCAGGAAAAUCUCUGAGGUGUAAUUUACAUGAGAUCACACUGACUAACUUUGCCAUUGCACCCUUGCCCUGUACUUUCUUUUUUUUUCUGUGCUGCUCUCCACUCCUUACUGGUUCUCCUAGGAGAACUUCCUUAACACAUCAUUUGCUUAUGAUCUCUAGCUCAGAGCUGGCUUCAGGGGAACCAGACCUAUGACAGGGACCAUCCUGAUUGUAAACCGGUGAUGUUCAUUUCUCUUCAUAUUUGGAAUAUCUGUGUUAUAAGGAGAAGGGUGAGAUUUUCAAAUUUUAUCAUCCGUGAAAAAAAAAGGUGAAACUUGGCCAUGAUUUUGGGACGUUAUCUUUUGAAUGCCAUGGAGUGAUCCUGCACAGGGCCAAGCACUGCACAGAAUGAGCGCCGGAAAACCCAGCAUGCCUAGAAGAAACUCAGCUUCAUCCAUGUGCUGGGCCGGGAAGAUGGAUCUGGAAGCAAGUAUCCAGGGAGAGGGAAAUAUGAUACUCCCAUUUCAACGGGAUUUCAGCUGGAGAGCAGCAAACACAGCCUGGCGUCGUGAUGGGCUGGUAAACAUUAACAACCGCCCCUCUGGAAACUAAAGCUUUUGUUUGUAGCAUUUACAAUUUCCAUGGUAUAAACACUCCCAGCAUGGGCAAUUUCAAGCUAUCAAAAAUUUGACAACUGGUUUUCUCAAGCUGGUACAAGCUGGCCCUGGCACACCUUUGGCUUAGAGACAUGUGGGUGAAGGGCAUCCUGGCCAAGUUCUCAGUGUUCUUGUUUUGUGUGGAGUUCCAGGUCAAUGUAUAAACCUCUAGCUCUUUUAUCAGAUUACUUUCUAGAAUUCCCAGUUGGCCUCAACAUCCUCACCCUUUGUCCCCUGCUGCUCCUUGUUGGAAUGUCCUUGGUGGCAGGUGUUUAGAUAAGCAGUCAUCACAAUUGAAUUCUGUAUUAGUUUUUGUUUGCAAUUUGGAAUGAGG